GAUGAACGCUAGCUACAGGCUUAACACAUGCAAGUCGAGGGACCGGCGCUCGGGUGUGUAACACGUAUCCUACCUGCCCUUUACUCUGGGAUACCCUUUCGAAAGCAAGAUUCAUACCCGAUAUUUUGGCUCUCGAUGCGUUCCAUUAGGUUGUUGGUGAGGUAACGGCUCACCAAGCCUUCGAUGGAGAGGGGUUCUGAGAGGAAGGGCCCCCACAUUGGAACUGAGACACGGUCCAAACUCUUACGGGAGGCAGCAGUGAGGAAUAUAGGUCAAUGGGCGCUAGCCUGAACCAGCCAAGUAGCGGGAAGGAUGAAGGCUUAUGGGUAGUAAACUUCUUUUAUAUAAGAAUAGGAAUUAGAAGAAUAAGGAUAGGCUAACUCCGUGCCAGCAGCCGCGGUAAGGG
rnacentral:rRNA from 1 species